rnacentral:rRNA from 1 species
UACGUAGGUGGCAAGCGUUAUCCGGAAUUAUUGGGCGUAAAGAGCUUGUAGGCGGUUUGUCGCGUCUGCCGUGAAAAUCCGAGGCUCAACCUCGGACUUGCGGUGGGUACGGGCAGACUAGAGUGUGGUAGGGGAGACUGGAAUUCCUGGUGUAGCGGUGAAAUGCGCAGAUAUCAGGAGGAACACCGAUGGCGAAGGCAGGUCUCUGGGCCACUACUGACGCUGAGAAGCGAAAGCAUGGGGAGCGAACAGG